rnacentral:miRNA from 1 species
GGCAGGAGCGUCCUCGCUGACCUGGGCCCUCCCCGCCUCCGCCUGUCCCGAGGAGCACAGAGUCCUGGGCUGUGUCCCCCGCGCCCUGGGCUCCAGGGCCUGCGCUGCUGG